UCCGUAGGUGAACCUGCGGAAGGAUCAUUACUGAGUGAGGGCCCUCUGGGUCCAACCUCCCACCCGUGUUUAUUGUACCUUGUUGCUUCGGUGCGCCCGCCUCACGGCCGCCGGGGGGCUUCUGCCCCCGGGUCCGCGCGCACCGGAGACACCAUUGAACUCUGUCUGAAGAUUGCAGUCUGAGCAUAAACUAAAUAAGUUAAAACUUUCAACAACGGAUCUCUUGGUUCCGGCAUCGAUGAAGAACGCAGCGAAAUGCGAUAACUAAUGUGAAUUGCAGAAUUCAGUGAAUCAUCGAGUCUUUGAACGCACAUUGCGCCCCCUGGUAUUCCGGGGGGCAUGCCUGUCCGAGCGUCAUUGCUGCCCUCAAGCACGGCUUGUGUGUUGGGCUCCGUCCCCCCGGGGACGGGUCCGAAAGGCAGCGGCGGCACCGAGUCCGGUCCUCGAGCGUAUGGGGCUUUGUCACCCGCUCUGUAGGCCCGGCCGGCGCCAGCCGACAACCAAUCAUCCUUUUUUCAGGUUGACCUCGGAUCAGGUAGGGAUACCCGCUGAACUUAAGCAUAUCAAUAAGCGGAGGA
rnacentral:rRNA from 1 species